AUUGAACGCUGGCGGCAUGCUUUACACAUGCAAGUCGAACGGUAGAGGGGGCAACCCCUUGAGAGUGGCGAACGGGUGAGUAAUGCAUCGGAACGUGCCCAGUAGUGGGGGAUAGCCCGGCGAAAGCCGGAUUAAUACCGCAUGAGACCUGAGGGUGAAAGCGGGGGACCAAGUAGCAAUAUUUGGCCUCGCGCUACUGGAGCGGCCGAUGUCAGAUUAGGUAGUUGGUGGGGUAAAGGCCUACCAAGCCGACGAUCUGUAGCUGGUCUGAGAGGACGACCAGCCACACUGGGACUGAGACACGGCCCAGACUCCUACGGGAGGCAGCAGUGGGGAAUCUUGGACAAUGGGCGAAAGCCUGAUCCAGCCAUGCCGCGUGCGGGAAGAAGGCCUUCGGGUUGUAAACCGCUUUUGUCAGGGAAGAAAUCCUUUGGGCUAACACCCCGGGGGGAUGACGGUACCUGAAGAAUAAGCACCGGCUAACUACGUGCCAGCAGCCGCAGUAA
rnacentral:rRNA from 1 species